CUACUGUUAGCUUUCAUGUUGAUGUAAGGUGUCACAAAAAAUAGAGGAGAAUUGAUGUCUGUCAGGGGACAGAUGGUGCUACAGCAAAGCAGAGGAAAUCCAGAUGGGUCAUUUCCAUUUGUCCUUGGAUCUAUCUCUAUAACUCUGCCAUAAUU